rnacentral:rRNA from 1 species
AUUGAACGCUGGCGGCAUGCCUAACACAUGCAAGUCGAACGAGAGGCGGACGGGCGAGCUAUUUCUUGGUCUCUGCCUGAUGGCGUGGGAUAGCUACUGGACACCGUAGAUAAUUCCGCCUUCCCUCUUCUGUGCCCAGGUGGGAUUAUCGAGUUGGUGGGGGAAAGGCGCACCUAGGCGACGAUCCCUAGCUGGUCUGAGAGGAUGACCAGCCACACUGGAACUGAGACACGGUCCAGACUCCUACGGGAGGCAGCAGUGGGGAAUAUUGCACAAUGGGCGCAAGCCUGAUGCAGCCAUGCCGCGUGUAUGAAGAAGGCCUUCGGGUUGUAAAGUACUUUCAGCGGGGAGGCGUUACCCGCAGAAGAAGCACCGGCUAACUCCGUGCCAGCAGCCGCGGUAAUUC